rnacentral:snRNA from 1 species
GUGCUCACUUUGGUAGUACAUAUACUAAAAUUGGAAUGCUACAGAGAAGAUUAACAUGGCCCCUGCGCAAGGAUGAUAUGCAAAUUUGUGAAGCGUUCCAUAUUUUU